rnacentral:rRNA from 1 species
CCUACGGGCGGCAGCAGUGGGGGAUAUUGGACAAUGGGGGGGAACCCUGAUCCAGCGACGCCGCGUGAGUGAAGAAGUAUUUCGGUAUGUAAAGCUCUGUCAGCAGGGAAGAAAGCAAUGACGGGACCUGACCAAGAAGCCCCGGCUAACUACGUGCCAGCAGCCGCGGUAAUCCGUAGGGGGCAAGCGUUAUCCGGAAUUACUGGGUGUAAAGGGGGCGUAGACGGCUGUGCAAGUCUGGAGUGAAAGGCGGGGGCCCAACCCCCGGACUGCUCUGGAAACUGUAUGGCGGGAGUGCGGGAGGGGCAGGCGGAAUGCCUGGUGUAGCGGUGAAAUGCGUAGAUAGUAGGAGGAACACCGGCGGCGAAGGCGGCCUGCUGGACCGUAACUGACGUUGAGGCUCGAAAGCGUGGGGAGCAAACAGGAUUAGAUACCCCUGUAGUC